rnacentral:misc_RNA from 1 species
GAUGAAGAACGCAGCGAAAUGCGAUAAGUAAUGUGAAUUGCAGAAUUCAGUGAAUCAUCGAAUCUUUGAACGCACCUUGCACCCUUUGGCAUUCCGAAGGGUAUGCUCGUUUGAGUGUCAUUGUACUCUCACACUCUCCGAUCCUAUGGAUUCGGGGAGCGGUGGACUUGGGUGUUGCUGCCUUUCCUUGUGGCUCACCUCAAAUGUGUAAGUGCACCUCUUGGUUGGACAUAGUACGGCGUGAUAAGUGUCUUCGCCGGCACCUCGCAAGAGGGUGGCCGAUCGGGAGCUCUGUGCUUUCAAACCGUCUUCGGACAAUUUCUGACAACUUGACCUCAAAUCGAGUAGGACUACCCGCUGAACUUAAGCAUAUCAAUAAGCGGAGGA